AUUGAACAUAAGAGUUUGAUCCUGGCUCAGAUUGAACGCUGGCGGCAUGCUUUACACAUGCAAGUCGGACGGCAGCACAGGGAAGCUUGCUUCUCGGGUGGCGAGUGGCGAACGGGUGAGUAACAUAUCGGAACGUACCGGGUAGCGGGGGAUAACUGAUCGAAAGAUCAGCUAAUACCGCAUACGUCUUGAGAGGGAAAGCAGGGGACCUUCGGGCCUUGCGCUAUCCGAGCGGCCGAUAUCUGAUUAGCUGGUUGGCGGGGUAAAGGCCCACCAAGGCGACGAUCAGUAGCGGGUCUGAGAGGAUGAUCCGCCACACUGGGACUGAGACACGGCCCAGACUCCUACGGGAGGCAGCAGUGGGGAAUUUUGGACAAUGGGCGCAAGCCUGAUCCAGCCAUGCCGCGUGUCUGAAGAAGGCCUUCGGGUUGUAAAGGACUUUUGUCAGGGAAGAAAAGGCUGUUGCCAAUAUCGGCGGCCGAUGACGGUACCUGAAGAAUAAGCACCGGCUAACUACGUGCCAGCAGCCGCGGUAAUACGUAGGGUGCGAGCGUUAAUCGGAAUUACUGGGCGUAAAGCGGGCGCAGACGGUUACUUAAGCAGGAUGUGAAAUCCCCGGGCUCAACCCGGGAACUGCGUUCUGAACUGGGUGACUCGAGUGUGUCAGAGGGAGGUGGAAUUCCACGUGUAGCAGUGAAAUGCGUAGAGAUGUGGAGGAAUACCGAUGGCGAAGGCAGCCUCCUGGGAUAACACUGACGUUCAUGUCCGAAAGCGUGGGUAGCAAACAGGAUUAGAUACCCUGGUAGUCCACGCCCUAAACGAUGUCAAUUAGCUGUUGGGCAACUUGAUUGCUUGGUAGCGUAGCUAACGCGUGAAAUUGACCGCCUGGGGAGUACGGUCGCAAGAUUAAAACUCAAAGGAAUUGACGGGGACCCGCACAAGCGGUGGAUGAUGUGGAUUAAUUCGAUGCAACGCGAAGAACCUUACCUGGUUUUGACAUGUGCGGAAUCCUCCGGAGACGGAGGAGUGCCUUCGGGAGCCGUAACACAGGUGCUGCAUGGCUGUCGUCAGCUCGUGUCGUGAGAUGUUGGGUUAAGUCCCGCAACGAGCGCAACCCUUGUCAUUAGUUGCCAUCAUUCGGUUGGGCACUCUAAUGAGACUGCCGGUGACAAGCCGGAGGAAGGUGGGGAUGACGUCAAGUCCUCAUGGCCCUUAUGACCAGGGCUUCACACGUCAUACAAUGGUCGGUACAGAGGGUAGCCAAGCCGCGAGGCGGAGCCAAUCUCACAAAACCGAUCGUAGUCCGGAUUGCACUCUGCAACUCGAGUGCAUGAAGUCGGAAUCGCUAGUAAUCGCAGGUCAGCAUACUGCGGUGAAUACGUUCCCGGGUCUUGUACACACCGCCCGUCACACCAUGGGAGUGGGGGAUACCAGAAGUAGGUAGGGUAACCGCAAGGAGCCCGCUUACCACGGUAUGCUUCAUGACUGGGGUGAAGUCGUAACAAGGUAGCCGUAGGGGAACCUGCGGCUGGAUCACCUCCUUUCUAG
rnacentral:rRNA from 1 species